rnacentral:rRNA from 1 species
CAGUAGCCGCGGGAAAACAGAGGGUGCGAGCGUUAAUUGGAUUUACUGGGCGUAAAGCGUGCGUAGGCGGCUAAUUGAGUCGGAUGUGAAAUCCCCGAGCUUAACUUGGGAAUUGCAUUCGAUACUGGGAAGCUAGAGUAUGGGAGAGGAUGGUAGAAUUCCAGGUGUAGCGGUGAAAUGCGUAGAGAUCUGGAGGAAUACCGAUGGCGAAGGCAGCCAUCUGGCCUAAUACUGACGCUGAGGUACGAAAGCAUAGGGAGCAAACAGGAUUAGAUACCCCCGUAGUCCCUGUCUCUUAUAC